rnacentral:tRNA from 1 species
ACGGCGGAAGCAUAACAGGUAUAUGCACUCGGCUGAUAUCCGAGAGAUAGCGAGUUCAAGUCUCGCCCGCCGUACCA